UACAGAGGUCCCAAGCGUUGUUCGGAUUCAUUGGGCGUAAAGGGUGCGUAGGCGGCGCGGUAAGUCGGGUGUGAAAUCUCGGAGCUUAACUCCGAAACUGCAUUCGAUACUGCGGUGCUUGAGGACUGGAGAGGAGACUGGAAUUCUCGGUGUAGCGGUGAAAUGCGUAGAUAUCGAGAGGAACACCCGUGGCGAAAGCGGCUCUCUGGAACGGUACUGACGCUGAGACGCGAAAGCGUGGGGAGCGAACAGG
rnacentral:rRNA from 1 species